GUACCAUGGUUAAGACAAAGCUACGCAAGUUUUAUCUAUCCCAGUUCUCUUUCAGUGUUUUAUUGCGUUUGUUUUUACAUUUUAAAGGUUGCACCAAAAAUCAAGGCUUUGAUGAUGGAAUCAGGGACAACAAUGGUCGGAUACCAGCCCCAGGGAGAUAAAGCUAACUUCUUCCGAAUGGUCAUCUCAAACCCUGCAGCCACCAAAUCUGACAUCGACUUCCUGAUUGAAGAAAUCGAGAGAUUGGGACUGGAGUUGUAAUAGUCGUGACAUGUUCUGUUAACCUCAUCCUCACCCACAUCAUGCUGAUAUGACAUUUCCAGCACUUUACGGGUUAACUGGCUUAAAACAAGGUUUUAGAACAAUAGACAUUCCCUCAAUAAGUUAUAAAUGUGCAAUUCUCUUCUGGCACUUCAACCAACAUAGGUUGCUGAAACAUACACUAAAUAUUAUAACAGAGAUAAGCAAUAUUAUCUAAUAGGUGUACAGUAGAACCUUAUUUUAGUGUGUUUGUUAAGGUAAUCAGAAGCCUACAUGGGAUUUGAAUGUUGUAAUAUAUAGUACUCUUUAAGUGUGAGGUGGCAUUUACUUAACCCCUUAAGGACACAUGACAUGUGUGACAUGUCAUGAUUCCCUUUUAUUCCAGAGGUUUGGUCCUUAAGGGGUUAAAGCAAGAAUUGUGGUGAACAAACAAGGGACGUUUUAGGCCAGAAUCACUAAACUUGAAAGCUACUAUUUUGACCUAAAUGUGUAGUUCCCUUGUGAACUCUCCAGAACACUAAAUUUACAGGUUAUUUACUUAUGUGAUGAAACUUUGAAAUUCAAUUGAAUUUUCACAUUGGUAAAUAAUCCUGUUAGGAACAGGGUCAGCUCUGGGCAUUGUUUGAGCCAGCAACUGAUUCAUACAGGGUUAUCCAAUAAACUGUGAGCUGGCAGAAACUGACAAGUGAAUCUCCAAUUUUAGGACAAAAAAAUGCUUAACUCUACAGUUCGCCUAUUUUAGCUUGAAAUUUGUAAUUUACUAGUCAAUGCCUAACAAGGCACAGUAUUCUUAGGAAACAUGAAGUAUUUGAGCGAACAAGGGACCUGGCCAGUGGGAUUUCUUAUCCCUAUGAUUAAAGGAUUCUUUCAUGGCCCUGUACUAUAUAACUAUACGUACACACUUAGAAGUACGCCACAAAAAAGUCUUGUUAAAAACAUGUAGGUUUCUGAAAUAUUAAAUGUGCUCUAAUGUGUUAAUACAAAUUGCUUCUGUAUAUGCAAGCUAGAGUAUUGAAUCAAUUUCUAUUUUUUACCACGCGUUCUAAUGCUCCACAGUACUAAAAACAACAAUAUUUUGCAAUCUUAUUCCUAAUCUCCUGAAUUGAUGACAAUUCAGUGUGUUAACUAGCAAGCUUUAGAAAAUAAGCACAUGAUGUCAUCAAGCUGUACUGCACCAUUGUUAUCUCUGUACAAAGAGGUUAAGUGAAUACAGCUACAGAUCAUGAUGCCUGUGAGGUUUAAACAUGUUCAGACUUCUUUCCAUAUUGUAGUAUCAUUCAAUACUUUGUGUAUUGCAGGCUCCAAGUCAGUUAUCUUUUGUUCUGAAUAACACUGGCUUUAAAAAACCUACAUGAAUGUCUCUUUAAAGGGACAAUCCCAUAUGAUAAAAAAUGUAUAUAAGAACUAGGGUUUCUUUGCUAAUGCGUGACAAAAGUCAGAACUAAGAAUGUAUAGAAAAGAGGAUAUUGUUUAAAUACAAUCGCAAUAACUAUUGAACUGUGAAGUAUUGAAAGUGAGUAUACAAACCAGAAAAGAAUUGCUUACAUCCCUUUGCAUAUAAAGCAUAUUUGUAUGUAUAUAUUAACCCAUUAGAGUCCAUUUAAAUAAAUCCUGCCUAACAGUAUUAAACCUUAUUGUUGGUGCUUUAAUACCUUUAGACAGCACCAUCCAGUAAGUAGAUUGCUCGUCCCCUUUGUAGUGUCUUGGGGGUAAUAAUAGCACAGUUGUCGUAACAGGUACUAUAUUGCUGUAUUUUUAGGGAUUAAUUUAUGUAGAUUGUGUACAUUAUUGUUAAAUGACUUUGUGCAAUGGGAAUAAAUGUAAUAGUUUUACAGUUAUUUAACAGCUAAAUGAUAGUUAUAAAAAAAAAUAAUUGCUUAUUUAUAUGCAGAGAUUUCCCAUGUUAAAGAGGUGUCUUGUAUUUUCUUCCAUUUGUAAUGUAAUCUAUUUAUAUUAUAUACAUAUAAAUAUAUAAAUAUAUAUACAGUAUAUAUUAAUGAACUAAGUUCUAAAUAACGUUUAUUGUAAUUCAGUGUCUUUGUGAGCCAAAGAAAUCUGAGAAAUAUAGUGGAACCAGGAAUUACGUUCAAAUGCCCUCAAAAGGCAUUUCAGAAAGAAAAAUAAAAUUCCAUUUACACCCUUUGGGUGUGAGAGGUGCACCCUUGCAGUGUACAAAAAGUUAGGUAGGAACACAGGAGUCUAGUUUAGCAAACUUACUGCUAACAACUAGCUGUCAUCAGUCAUUUGCAUUGCAUACCGAUACAUUUAUCACGGCAAAAUUGGAGCAAUCUUGGGGCAAUACGCUAAAUGUGGAGCAAUCACCAAACAAAGGAUUUCUACUGAUUCCUCUACUGUAGUAGAAGAUAGAAGGUAGAUAUUCAACAGACAAUCCAGCUUUUGGUCAACUGAUAAUCUAGCUUUUUGGUCAGCUUUGGUCAACUGAUGAUCUAGCUUUUAGUCAACUUUGGUCUAGAGCAGAGGUAUGCAAGUUUUGGCAAUCCUGAUGUAUUGGACUACAUCUCCCAUAAUACUCUUACAGCCAUAAUGUAGUGCUGUAUAAAUGUAGUGCACAACAUCUGGAGUGCCGAAGGAUGCCGACCGCUUGCUCUAGAACAAAUGUUUAGCCUUCUGUGAUAUACUGAAGGUCUAAAACUGCAGUAGAGCUACCCUAUGGCGACCUCUAGUGCACUGAUUUGGAAUUAAUUCAGAACAUAUACAUGAUUGGCCAUUGAUUUCCAAAGUAAUUAGGUUCUUUUUCAUGUGUGAAAAUGUUUAAGAUAGAGAUUAAUUUGCCCGUUCUCUGCCCAGGAUAAGUCCUGUGGAAAAAUCAAAGCACCUUGUUAAAAAACUCACACAAAGACCAAUUCUUGGGCAAGUUGCCAGCCGUGAAACAGUCAGUUUGAACAUUCUGUAGUUUCCAUGGUGAUCAGAGCAGGAUUAACCAUACGGCGACUCUCAACGGCCACCUAGCGUCCAGGAAUUAGACAGGUACCCCAGAACCAUGAAAUUAUUUGUCCAUUAACCAUCCCUGUGUAAAGAAUGCAAGGGGGGGGGGGCCAUAACUGGCAACCUGCCGAGGACCCCAUGUUAAAAAAAUUAUUUCUUUGAUUGGUCAUAGCUCCACUUCUAGAAUUUAUCCCCAGAAUUUCUCUUUAAGGACGUGGUCAAUAUAAGCCAUUAGACAUAAUUAUUUUGCAGAUCCUAGCACUAUUAAACAGAGUAUUUAAACUCAGUAUUGAUUUUGAUAAUCAUGCUAUAUUCAACGUGCUGAAUCAGAACAUGGUUAACUAUUUAUUUAUUGUUGCUUGGUUUUGUGUGAUUUUCACACUGCUUACACCAUACCUCUUUCUCCCUAAUGAAAACAUUUUGCUGCAAUGCCACUAUUUCUUGAAGCAUUACUGUAUAUAAGCAGUAUGCACAGUAUAUGUGUAGUGUGUUUCUACAUUAUCAUAUUAACCUUAACUAGUAUAGAAUCAACAGAUAUGCUGUAGUUAUAUUAGGAGUAUCACCAGUACAUUAAGUAACGUAUAUGCAUUGACGUGCGUCACCUCCAAUCUAUUGCACCUUUCCCAAGGAUGAUAUUCUGUGAGCGCCAAUGAGGUCGAGUUUUAACCUUUAACCUCCUGGCAUAAAAAGAGUUAACAGGUACGAUCCAGUAUAAGGUUUUAAAACAUGGUUGCUCACACACGAUAGCAUUGUUAGAUAUAGCUAGUUGAGAAUCAUUAGAGGUUUAGUCCAUGGGUCCUUUGGCUCCCAUUUUAUAGACAGAACAAUUAUAAGAUAUCUAAAUAGAGAUAAAUGGAUUAAAAUGGCAUUAAUUGACUAACUACAUAACAUGUAAUUGGUAAACAUUAAAUAUUUCUCAAAGGAGAAUUCGUUUGUACCCCGUCUCCAUUCCAUGUGUUAAUUCAUGUAAUCUGUGUAUGUAUUAUGUUUUAAUAAUAUGCCUUAGCAAACCAUUUAAACAUGAUCACUGCGGGUCACAUAUUGUCUCUGAAAUGACUUUAUGCCAGACAUUCCACCAAUUAAAACAGAAAUAGUAGCAUUUAAGUAUUGGAAGCACAGCAUUACAGCAAACAGAUGGAAACGUUAUAAAAAACACCGUCAUUAUACUUCAAACCUGGUAAUCAGAAAGCUCAGUAAUGAUCUCUGACGGGACAUGCCAGGUGCUAUAUUAUUAACAUGAACGCACAUGUAACAUGUGAUGUCACAAACCGACAUAGUAUCUUACUAAGCGUCUUUUCCCAGAUUUUAUGGCACAUCAUUACGCCCGUGCCGCUCUCAUUGCUCUUAUCCACAAUAAAACAAGAAUAUACCAGUCUCAUAAUAUUUCCACCCACAGGACCACUUACCUACUUACUUAAACAAGUGUUCUUAAACACAAGAGGUCAAGGUUUUUCCAGAUAUCUCCAUGGACAAUCCCAAAAUCCAGAUCUCAUCAAUCAGACCCCCUUUCAACAAAUCCCAAACUCUAGGUGUACAACGGAGUUCUAUAACGUAAUGUGCUUUUGUGUAUUGAAAAAACGGUGCAUUUCAAUAUAUAUUCUAUGGGCCACUUUUGGGAAUCAAACGAAUUGUUCCCUGUUCUGUGUUCAGGAUGUGAAAUUGUAAUAUUGAAAACCAACCAGGCUCUUUCACAUUUACAGCAUCUUCCGAAAGACAAACUAAAGGGGCAAAUUGCAAUGGUCUAUAAUGCUACCCAAAAGGCACAAAAAAUAGAGGACAGACUCUUAUUUAAAGGAUCCUAAUGCAAAUGAUUAGGAACCUUUUUCAAAAUUUCUACCAUUUUUUUUCCAGGAAAUAUGGUUCACAGUUUCAUAAAAAUAGUAGAUGACAGAGAACAUCCCUAAUCAGUUGAAAUUAAUAAAUACAGAACGCUAAUUCGUCAUAAUGUUCAUUUUCAUCCGCAUCCCAUUAAAUCACAAAUCCACGAUCAUAUUCUAAGUAAAAUGAAAAUGUGCCAAAAUGUCUUGUGAGGUUUCACUUGUUGUGAAAAUCUUGUGACAAUCGUAUCUUGUCAAAAUGUUUUGUAAAAUUAUCAUAAAAUGCUGUGUUUGUCUUCGUUCCUGCUAUAUGAAAGCACAAAGCGGCUUUAUACUGAAACAGAUUACAGAUACAAAUAAUAAAUGCAAAUUUAGUGGAAAGCCGCAUCUGACUAAUUUUCUUUCUGUAAAUCCAACAAUUGAAAAAAAUCUCUUAUCAGCCGUAAGAUUCCAUCGGAACUGAAUGUAUUUUAUUAAAUAAUGAAUGGUGUGUUUUUCAGAAUUCCAAACGUGUG